UAUAUGGCUCUCUGAUAACUGCACCGUUUAUGUACUCUUUUAUGAGUUUAUAUUCUAUUUUGUCCUAUAUAGAUGUUGUAACGGAUCGCCUGGCACCCCGACUGGGUACCUCCGUUAAAGGAUGCUCCUAGCGCUUCCUGAGGACUCCAAGCACUCUGGCAGACACCACAAUCACCGAACCGGAGAAACAAAUAAAUUCUCCCAAGCAUAUGAAUGCUGUAGACAGUUGAAUAGGAACCAUAUGAAUAGGUUUACUCUCCUAGCAGUCAAACUGGAACAGCAUACAAUAAAUCCUUCCCCCAAUAAUGAGGCGACACUUCACUUUGAG